CUAGCGUUGCUCGGAAUCACUGGGCGUAAAGGGUGCGUAGGCGGGUCUUUAAGUCAGGGGGGAAAUCCUGGAGCUCAACUCCAGAACUGCCUUUGAUACUGAAGAUCUUGAGUUCGGGAGAGGUGAGUGGAACUGCGAGUGUAGAGGUGAAAUUCGUAGAUAUUCGCAAGAACACCAGUGGCGAAGGCGGCUCACUGGCCCGAUACUGACGCUGAGGCACGAAAGCGUGGGGAGCAAACAGG
rnacentral:rRNA from 1 species